AUUGAACGCUGGCGGCAUGCUUUACACAUGCAAGUCGAACGGUAACAGGUUAAGCUGACGAGUGGCGAACGGGUGAGUAAUGCAUCGGAACGUGCCCGGUCGUGGGGGAUAACGCAGCGAAAGCUGCGCUAAUACCGCAUACGAUCUGAGGAUGAAAACGGGGGACCGUAAGGCCUCGCGCGAUCGGAGCGGCCGAUGUCGGAUUAGGUAGUUGGUGGGGUAAAGGCUCACCAAGCCAACGAUCUGUAGCUGGUCUGAGAGGACGACCAGCCACACUGGGACUGAGACACGGCCCAGACUCCUACGGGAGGCAGCAGUGGGGAAUUUUGGACAAUGGGCGAAAGCCUGAUCCAGCAAUGCCGCGUGCAGGAAGAAGGCCUUCGGGUUGUAAACUGCUUUUGUACGGAGCGAAAAGGUCUCCUCUAAUACAGGGGGCUCAUGACGGUACCGUAAGAAUAAGCACCGGCUAACUACGUGCCAGCCGCCGCGGUAAUAC
rnacentral:rRNA from 1 species